rnacentral:rRNA from 1 species
GGCUUUGAAGUGUGGACGCCAGUCUGCAUGGAGCCGACCUUGAAAUACCACCCUUUAAUGUUUGAUGUUCUAACGUGGACCCGUAAUCCGGGUUGCGGACAGUGUCUGGUGGGUAGUUUGACUGGGGCGGUCUCCUCCUAAAGAGUAACGGAGGAGCACGAAGGUUGGCUAAUCCUGGUCGGACAUCAGGAGGUUAGUGCAAUGGCAUAAGCCAGCUUGACUGCGAGCGUGACGGCGCGAGCAGGUGCGAAAGCAGGUCAUAGUGAUCCGGUGGCUCUGAAUGGAAGGGCCAUCGCUCAACGGAUAAAAGGUACUCCGGGGAUAACAGGCUGAUACCGCCCAAGAGUUCAUAUCGACGGCGGUGUUUGGCACCUCGAUGUCGGCUCAUCACAUCCUGGGGCUGAAGUAGGUCCCAAGGGUAUGGCUGUUCGCCAUUUAAAGUGGUACGCGAGCUGGGUUUAGAACGUCGUGAGACAGUUCGGUCCCUAUCUGCCGUGGGCGCUGGAGAACUGAGGGGGGCUGCUCCUAGUACGAGAGGACCGGAGUGGACGCAUCACUGGUGUUCGGGUUGUCA